rnacentral:rRNA from 1 species
AACAAGGAUUCCCCUAGUAACGGCGAGUGAAGCGGGAAGAGCUCAAAUUUGAAAUCUGGCAGUCUUCGAUUGUCCGAGUUGUAAUCUAUAGAGGCGUUUUCCGUGCCGGACCGUGUCCAAGUCUCCUGGAAAGGAGUAUCAAAGAGGGUGAUAAUCCCGUACUUAACACGACCACCGGUGCUCUGUGAUACGUCUUCUACGAGUCGAGUUGUUUGGGAAUGCAGCUCAAAAUGGGUGGUGAAUUCCAUCUAAAGCUAAAUAUUGGCGAGAGACCGAUAGCGAACAAGUACCGUGAGGGAAAGAUGAAAAGCACUUUGGAAAGAGAGUUAAACAGUACGUGAAAUUGUUGAAAGGGAAACGAUUGAAGUCAGUCGUGUUCUUUGGAUUCAGCCAGUUCUGCUGGUCUACUUCCUUGGAACGGGUCAACAUCAGUUUUGUCCGGUGGAUAAAGGUAGUAGGAAUGUGACUUCUCCGGAAGUGUUAUAGCCUAUUAUCACAUACACUGGGUGAGACUGAGGACUGCAGCUCGCCUUUAUGGCCGGCCUUCGGGCACGUUCGAGCUUAGGAUGUUGACAUAAUGGCUUUAA